UUAGAGAGGAUGAAUGGCAGGUUAGAGAGGAUGAAUGGUAGGUUAGAGAGGAUGAAUGGUAGGUUAGAGAGGAUGAAUGGCAGGUUAGAGAGGAUGAAUGGUAGGUUAGAGAGUAUGAAUGGCAGGUUAGGUUAGAGACGAUGAAUGUUAGGUUAGAGAGGAUGAAUGGUAGGUUAGAGACGAUGAAUGUUAGGUUAGGUUAGAGAGGAUGGAUGGUAGGUUAGAGAGGAUGGAUGGUAGGUUAGAGAGGAUGAAUGGUAGGUUAGAGAGGAUGAAUGGCAGGUUAGAGAGGAUGAAUGGUAGGUUAGAGACGAUGAAUGUUAGGUUAGGUUAGAGAGGAUGGAUGGUAGGUUAGAGAGGAUGAAUGGUAGGUUAGAGACGAUAAAUGUUAGGUUAGAGACGAUGAAUGUUAGGUUAGGUUAGAGAGGAUGGAUGGUAGGUUAGAGAGGAUGGAUGGUAGGUUAGAGAGGAUGAAUGGUAGGUUAGAGACGAUAAAUGUUAGGUUAGAGACGAUGAAUGUUAGGUUAGGUUAGAGAGGAUGGAUGGUAGGUUAGAGAGGAUGGAUGGUAGGUUAGAGAGGAUGAAUGGUAGGUUAGAGAGGAUGAAUGGUAGGUUAGAGACGAUAAAUGUUAGGUUAGAGACGAUGAAUGUUAGGUUAGGUUAGAGAGGAUGGAUGGUAGGUUAGAGAGGAUGGAUGGUAGGUUAGAGAGGAUGAAUGGUAGGUUAGAGAGGAUGAAUGGUAGGUUAGAGACGAUAAAUGUUAGGUUAGAGACGAUGAAUGUUAGGUUAGGUUAGAGAGGAUGGAUGGUAGGUUAGAGAGGAUGGAUGGUAGGUUAGAGAGGAUGAAUGGUAGGUUAGAGACGAUGAAUGUUAGGUUAGGUUAGAGAGGAUGAAUGGUAGGUUAGAGAGGAUGGAUGGUAGGUUAGAGACGAUAAAUGUUAGGUUAGAGACGAUGAAUGUUAGGUUAGGUUAGAGAGGAUGGAUGGUAGGUUAGAGAGGAUGAAUGGUAGGUUAGAGAGGAUGGAUGGUAGGUUAGAGAGGAUGAAUGGUAGGUUAGAGAGGAUGAAUGGUAGGUUAGAGACGAUGAAUGUUAGGUUAGAGAGGAUGGAUGGUAGGUUAGAGAGGAUGAAUGGUAGGUUAGAGAGGAUGAAUGGCAGGUUAGAGAGGAUGAAUGGCAGGUUAGAGAGUAUGAAUGGCAGGUUAGAGAGGAUGAAUGGCAGGUUAGAGAGGAUGAAUGGCAGGUUAGGUUAGAGAUGAUGAAUGUUAGGUUAGAGAGGAUGAAUGGCAGGUUAGAGAGGAUGAAUGGCAGGUUAGAGAGGAUGAAUGGCAGGUUAGAGAGGAUGAAUGGCAGGUUAGAGAGGAUGAAUGGCAGGUUAGAGAGGAUGAAUGGCAGGUUAGAGAGGAUGAAUGGUAGGUUAGAGAGGAUGAAUGGCAGGUUAGAGAGGAUGAAUGGCAGGUUAGAGAGGAUGAAUGGUAGGUUAGAGAGGAUGAAUGGUAGGUUAGAGAGGAUGAAUGGUAGGUUAGAGAGGAUGAAUGGCAGGUUAGAGAGGAUGAAUGGCAGGUUAGAGAGGAUGGAUGGUA